AACAGGAUUAGAUACCCUGGUAGUCCACGCUGUAAACGAUGUCGACUUGGAGGUUGUGCCCUUGAGGCGUGGCUUCCGGAGCUAACGCGUUAAGUCGACCGCCUGGGGAGUACGGCCGCAAGGUUAAAACUCAAAUGAAUUGACGGGGGCCCGCACAAGCGGUGGAGCAUGUGGUUUAAUUCGAUGCAACGCGAAGAACCUUACCUACUCUUGACAUCCAGAGAAUUUGCUAGAGAUAGCUUAGUGCCUCCGGGAACUCUGAGACAGGUGCUGCAUGGCUGUCGUCAGCUCGUGUUGUGAAAUGUUGGGUUAAGUCCCGCAACGAGCGCAACCCUUAUCCUUUGUUGCCAGCGAGUAAUGUCGGGAACUCAAAGGAGACUGCCGGUGAUAAACCGGAGGAAGGUGGGGAUGACGUCAAGUCAUCAUGGCCCUUACGAGUAGGGCUACACACGUGCUACAAUGGCAUAUACAAAGAGAAGCGAACUCGCGAGAGCAAGCGGACCUCAUAAAGUAUGUCGUAGUCCGGAUUGGAGUCUGCAACUCGACUCCAUGAAGUCAGAAUCGCUAGUAAUCGUAGAUCAGAAUGCUACGGUGAAUACGUUCCCGGGCCUUGUACACACCGCCCGUCACACCAUGGGAGUGGGUUGCAAAAGAAGUAGGUAGCUUAACCUUCGGGAGGGCGCUUACCACUUUGUGAUUCAUGACUGGGGUGAAGUCGUAACAAGGUAACC
rnacentral:rRNA from 1 species